ACAGCCUAGGGACGCAGCAGUGAGGAAUAUUGGUCAAUGGGCGGGAGCCUGAACCAGCCAAGCCGCGUGAGGGAAGAAGGUACAGCGUAUCGUAAACCUCUUUUGUCAGGGAACAAAGGCGGGGACUAGUCCCCGGAUGAGGGUACCUGAAGAAAAAGCAUCGGCUAACUCCGUGCCAGCAGCCGCGGUAAUACGGAGGAUGCGAGCGUUAUCCGGAUUUAUUAGGUUUAAAGGGUGCGCAGGCGGCCUGUUAAGUCAGCGGUAAAAGCCCGGGGCUCAACCCCGGCGAGCCGUUGCAACUGGCG
rnacentral:rRNA from 1 species